rnacentral:misc_RNA from 1 species
ACAAUGCUCUACAAUGAGCAAUACUUGUAGUAACAUGGCUUCAGUUGUGCCAUUUCUGAAAACUUUAAAUUCAAACCAUUCCAUAUUACAAGCCAGUAAAUUAAUAAAUAAUUAUAUAUUUUGCCGAGCGAAGUCAUCGAAGUCUUCAAAGAGCGAACAUGAUGUUAUUAUUGUCGGUGGAGGUAUUGUUGGCAUGGCAACGGCUCGGGAAUUACUCAUGAGACAUCCUGCACUGUCAGUUGCUGUAGUUGAAAAGGAAAAGGGAUUAGCAUCCCACCAGAGUGGUCACAACAGUGGUGUAAUCCAUGCUGGUAUCUACUACACCCCCGGAUCUCUCAGAGCCAAGCUGUGUGUCGAAGGCCUGGAUCUCGCAUACAAGUACUGCGACCAGUUCGGAGUGCCAUACAAAAAGUGUGGAAAGCUAAUAGUUGCAGUAAGGCCACAAGAAAUUGCUCGACUUGACAAGCUGUUUGAAAGAGGUGUUCAGAAUGGUGUCAAAGAUCUUAGAAUUGUUGGAUCAACUGAGAUCAAAGAGAUUGAACCAAACUGUAAAGGCCUAAAAGCAAUCCAUUCUCCACAUACUGGCAUUGUGGACUGGGGUCUGGUGACCAGGAGCUAUGGCAAGACGUUUCAACAGCUUGGUGGCAAAAUCUACACAGACUACCAAGUGACAAGUUUUACUGCAACGAAAGAAAGCAAACCUGGAAGCCAAGAUGGGAUCAACUUCCCUAUAACUAUAUAUGGCAAACUGGAAAAGAAUUCGCCGCUCCGGUGUAAGUAUGUGGUCACGUGUGGUGGUCUGCAGUCUGAUCGACUGGCCCAGUUGUCUGGCUGUGACAGGAACCCGAGGAUUCUUCCAUUCAGGGGAGAGUACCUAGAACUGGUGCCAGAAAAACAUGAUCUCAUCAGAGGAAACAUUUAUCCAGUACCAGAUCCACGCUUCCCGUUCCUGGGUGUCCACUUCACCCCACGUAUAGAUGGCAGGGUCCUGCUGGGUCCUAAUGCUGUUCUAGCCUUCAAGAGAGAGGGCUAUGGAUACACACAGUUCAGUCUGUCUGACAUGAUGGAUGCACUCAGCUAUAGGUAUGAUACAGUUAUACGGCUAUGGAUACACACAGUUCAGUCUGUCUGACAUGAUGGAUGCACUCAGCUAUAGGUAUGAUACAGUUAUACGGCUAUGGAUACACACAGUUCAGUCUGUCUGACAUGAUGGAUGCCCUCAGCUGGAUGCACUCAGCUAUAGGUAUGAUACAGUUAUAUGGCUAUGGAUACACACAGUUCAGUCUGUCUGACAUGGUGGAUGCACUCAGCUAUAGGUAUGAUACAGUUAUAUGGCUAUGGAUACACACAGUUCAGUCUGU